rnacentral:rRNA from 1 species
AGCCUGUCCCAGUUCGGACUGGAGUCUGNAACCCGACUCCACGAAGUUGGAUUCGCUAGUAAUCGCGCAUCAGCCAUGGCGCGGUGAAUACGUUCCCGGGCCUUGUACACACCGCCCGUCAAGCCAUGGAAGCCGGGAGUGCCUGAAGUGCGUGACCGCAAGGAACGCCCUAGGGUAAAACCGGUGACUGGGGCUAAGUCGUAACAAGGUAGC